AAAAAAGAUCAAGGCCUGGAAAGGUUCAUUGAGAAAGGUUCAUUGAUGCACAGUUGACAACUAAUGGCAGAGUGGGCCUAGAAGCUGGGCCUCCUUACUGCCAGACAGAACUCCAGCGUGCUGCCUUCUAUAAUCAGGGUAAUGAGCUAUAGGAUGGUAGACGAUGCAGCAUUCAAAGACUUGGAAGUAGAAGGUGCCAUGCAUCUAACCAUCAUGGUAUCCACACAACCAGCACCCUCUUCCCUCCUCUCUCCCCAUUGUUCUGUAAGUAGGAGAACGAGAAGGACAUGUUCUCUU